AUUGAACGCUGGCGGCAUGCUUUACACAUGCAAGUCGAACGGUAACAGGCCGCAAGGUGCUGACGAGUGGCGAACGGGUGAGUAAUGCAUCGGAACGUGCCCAGUCGUGGGGGAUAACGCAGCGAAAGCUGCGCUAAUACCGCAUACGAUCUAUGGAUGAAAGCGGGGGACCGAAAGGCCUCGCGCGAUUGGAGCGGCCGAUGUCAGAUUAGGUAGUUGGUGGGGUAAAGGCUCACCAAGCCGACGAUCUGUAGCUGGUCUGAGAGGACGACCAGCCAAACAGGGACUAGGACACGGCCCAGACUCCUACGGGAGGCAGCAGUGGGGAAUUUUGGACAAUGGGCGCAAGCCUGAUCCAGCAAUGCCGCGUGCAGGAAGAAGGCCUUCGGGUUGUAAACUGCUUUUGUACGGAACGAAAAGGCUCUGGUUAAUACCUGGGGCUCAUGACGGUACCGUAAGAAUAAGCACCGGCUAACUACGUGCCAGCCGCCGCCGUAAAAC
rnacentral:rRNA from 1 species